rnacentral:tRNA from 1 species
GGGGCGUAGCUUAGUUUGGUAGAGCGCGUGGUUUGGGACCACGAGGUCGCUGGUUCUCCCGUCGCACUAUAAAAUAAAUAAUUAUGGAAUCGACGGGAUCCCGACAUUCCAUUAUUAAAUAUAUUGAUGUCGUCGGGAAAAUCCAGUCGCCCCCA